rnacentral:lncRNA from 1 species
CAUCAACAUUUUACAAAAAAAAAAAAUCUCAUCUUUCUCCACUCUUGGCUACUCUCGGCCGAGAGCUACCUCACACCCACCAUCUUUUUCCAAUUCCAUUAUUGGCAUUUUAUAUACAUUCAAGUGUGAAAGGGUUCAUACGAAGAGGCUCGGUGCAUACGGAAUCGCAAGGACCUCACCACAUUGCUUUUAACCACCCAUUUUUCGACUAGUUUCUUCCCUAGCCUCGAGCUAGUAGUCGUCGCACAGCCGCUUGAUCAGGGAUACACUUGGUAGAGACGCACCACUGUGAGUUCAUGUCCCCCUUUUCUCUAACUGUUUUCAGUUUACUUAACUGCGGGGGUGAAAUACAUGUUACUAUGAUUUACGAGUACUUUACAACGGUAUGUUUAACGUAAGGAGGUGUUAUACGAUCAUGUGAGUGGAUAGGAACAACAUGGGGCCAUUAGUCCUCAUGGAGGGACCGAGGGACAGGAGCGGUAGAUCUAUCUGGGUGUAGCGAGCCCAGCCCCCGGCCAAACUAGAAACGGACCGUGGGGUGACUUUGUCCACAUACUUUGCCGUGGCGAAAUCUGCUAGGUUUGAGUCUCCCUAUUUGCACUUCACAUAUGUCAGUGGCCUUGCAAACCAUUGGUGAUCACAAGUCCUCUUACACUGCUACAUACCAAAACUAUUUUUAUACUCACAAAUGUUUUACAUACUCACCUACACGUGAACUCGCUCAACAUUAUUGUUGAUUUUUCAACUCACAUGUAUUUCAGGAAAUUAAACGGAUCUGGCACGGUAUGGAAUGUUUUUCCGCUGCACUGGUCAUGAAGUCAUCAGGGUUUAGGGUUGUGUCUCUUACCUGGACAAGACACAAUCCCUAAAUCACGUUUAUGUUUUGUUAUAAGUUGUAAUGUUACUGAACAAGGUUAUGGUUGCAUGAUAAAAACAAUGGUAUUUCACACAAAUUAA